rnacentral:misc_RNA from 1 species
UAUCACUGCUCCGAUUGCAUCCACGUGCAGUCGGUCGACAUGGGCCUUCAGCGCUGAUCGCCUCGAAUUGCGCGCGAUCGUCGUGGUAGACAGGGGUGUGGCAGCGAUGCCAUCCAGUGUUGCGACGAUCAACCCGUGCUC